rnacentral:rRNA from 1 species
UACGUAGGGGGCAAGCGUUGUCCGGAAUCAUUGGGCGUAAAGCGCGUGUAGGCGGCCAGAAAAGUCCGCUGUGAAAACUCGAGGCUCAACUUCGAGCUGUCGGUGGAAACUUUCUGGCUAGAGUCCGGAAGGGGAGAAUGGAAUUCCUGGUGUAGCGGUGAAAUGCGCAGAUAUCAGGAAGAACACCCGUGGCGAAGGCGGUUCUCUGGGACGGUACUGACGCUGAGACGCGAAAGCGUGGGGAGCGAACUGG